rnacentral:rRNA from 1 species
UACGGGGGGGGCAAGCGUUGUUCGGAAUUACUGGGCGUAAAGGGCUCGUAGGCGGCCAACUAAGUCAGACGUGAAAUCCCUCGGCUUAACCUCGGAACUGCAUUCGAUACUGCGGCGCUUGAGGACUGGAGAGGAGACUGGGAUUCAUGGUGUAGCAGUGAAAUGCGUAGAGAUCAUGAGGAAGACCAGUGGCGAAGGCGACUUCCUGGCCUGUUCUUGACGCUGAGGCGCGAAAGCUAGGGUAGCAAACGGG